UAAAUAAAAUUGAGAAUGGAAAUGGGGAAUGUGCCAAAGAGACAACAACCCGACCAUAGAAAAAAAAAAAAACAACAGCAGAAGGUCACCAACAGGUCUUCAAUGUAGCGAGAAAUUCCCGCACCCGGAGGCGUCCUUCAACUGGCCCCUAAACAAAUAUAUACUAGUUCAGUGAUAAUGAACGCCAUACUAAUUUCCAAAUUGUACACAAG
rnacentral:lncRNA from 1 species